CCAAUAGCGUAUAUUAAAGUUGUUGCAGUUAAAAAGCUCGUAGUUGAAUUUCGGGAUUGACGUAAUGGUCAUGCCUUAAGGGGUAUGAACUGUUACUGUUGAUUUCUCACCUUCUGGAGAAACUUGAUGUCCUUUAUUGGGUGUCUUGCGGAUCCAGGACCUUUACCUUGAAAAAAUUAGAGUGUUUAAAGCAGGCAUUUUUGCUCGAAUACAUUAGCAUGGAAUAAUAGAAUAGGACGGCAUGGUUCUAUUUUGUUGGUUUCUAGGAUCACCGUAAUGAUUAAUAGGGAUAGUUGGGGG
rnacentral:rRNA from 1 species